rnacentral:sRNA from 1 species
GCUGUGUGGUGGCGCACACCUGUAAUCCCAGCGGCUCUGGGGGCUGAGUCAGGAGGAUCGCUAGUUCAAAGCCAGCCUCAGCAACUUACCAAGGCUCUAAGUAACUUAGUGAGGCCCUGUCUCAA